GGUAGCGUGGCCGAGUGGUCUAAGGCGCUGGUUUUAAGCACAAGUCCAAAAUUUGGAUGACGUGUGUUCGAAUCCCACCGCUGCUA